rnacentral:lncRNA from 1 species
GCUUGGGUCGGGCCGGGGGCUAGGCACUGGGGCAGGGCUGGGGCUUGGCAUGGGUAAUGGGGCGGGCAAAGGGCUGGGGCUGGGGCUGGGAAUGGUGAUAGGGCUCGGGCUGGGGCUCGGGUUGGGGCUUGCCUCAGGUGCCGGCACUGGGCUAGGGCUGGGGCUAGGGCUGGGCUCCGGGCUAGGGGGUGGGGGCAACGGCACCAGUGGAGGCUCCGGCGAGGGCGGGUCGGGCAUCUUGUAGCCAAUGAAGAUGCAGGCGAUGAUGUUGCUGGGCACUCCGCGGGUGAAUCGAACGUCGCCACUCCACGCGGUUUGCGCCAGUAUGCUAUGUUUUGCCGACGCACGCACGCACGCCGCACGCACGCACGCAGCCACGGACAGGGGUGUUCCUGGGGGGCUUCGCCCCCCCCCCCUGGAACGCUGCGCUGGGGGGGCUCAGCCCAAAAGGUUGGCACGAACCUGUGCAAAACCUCGUGGGACCCCCGACCGACCGGCCGACAAUUUUAGGGGGCAAUAAGUUUGCACCCAGGAACCCAUUUUAAAUUUUCAAAGCGGAAAUAGGCGGCAGGGAAAACUCGGCUGGAGCGAGAAGCGACCUCGCGAGUCCAUGGACAUCUUGACUUUCGCGAGGUCGCAAGGAAAGCAGCCCUGUCACGCGAAUUCCACAAAGGAAGAGUUGCCAACUUCAAACUUUCCCCUUCGCACCCUUGUAGCCGUAGCACAGGCCAAACAAUUCUAGAUUUCUUGUUGAGCUCUAUCCAUUUGAGGCAUGGGGUCCGUUUCAGGAGAUUCUACCUCCCCCCCUGCGCUAGCCAAGACAUACAACCGCGUCAAGCCACCAUUGUCCGUUAGUCUUAGAAGCAUUGUUCCCCGGUCACGUUAAAGGGGCGGAGCCCCUCCACAGUCUGAGGCCGAUCAACUCAUCACCCGGACAUAGCCGGGGUCGGUUUCCACAGGCACAUAGCCAAAACAGGUGCCUAGCAAUCGCGAUGCCACAGCAGAGCCAACCGCAGCCAGACGCAGCACAGUUGUCAACAGCCGCACUACUUGUCAUGCCGCUACGCAUGCCCUGCCAGCCCCACCGCGGACCGCUACCUAGACACCAGCCGGCUCCUCAGGCUGCGCGCUUGCGCCGCUUCUUGGGCGGCGCUGCGCUCUCCUCCUCCACGUGGCCUUUCCCGCCCCCUCUGCUACCAGGAUGCGCGCACGCGCCCCCGCUGCUGCCGCAGCCGCCGCCGCCGCCACCGCUGCCGUCGCCACCGCUGCCGCCGCCAAAGCUGCCCCCGCCGCCGGCAGUCUGCAGCGAUGUAGGUCGCUUGUGCCCCAGCAGCAUCUCCACCAGCGCUUCGCUCGGGGGGCUCAGCCCAAUAACUCUCCGUGUUGUACCCCAAUGACAGUACGGAUUGUUGCCCGCUCACGUGCCGUCAAUGACAUUCAAAGGCUUUCCUGCAACUUCUCCUUGCCCUAUGUAGCCAGGCCGCUGGCGUAGCAGCUUUUGUGUGUGUGUGGUUACAAGGUGGUGAGCACGACGUGCAUUCCUGUCCUUGUAGAAACCGAGGCCCGGGCCGGGGGGCCCUUAUAACGCCUGCAACACAUAUAUAUGCAGCUAGUUUGGUCCCCGAAUGGGGGUGCUUCUGCUCCUGUGCUCCCAAAUGGAAUCUAGUAACGCGGCUAACCUGGCUGGGUCCGUAUUCUGCAUAACGGCCUGCAUCCCGCCUGUAAAAUCGAUAUCGCUACCCAAAUCGCACGCAACUGGUCGUAGGCCGUACACCGCAUGAGCACAUGAUUCUCAUCUUCGACUUCAUUUGCAACACAUAACGGGCAAAUCCUCUCCUCCAUAGGUCGUCCAUAGGCGCGGUUGAUAAUAAUUAGCAGCUAAUGGGGAUGCUACCUAGCACCCGCCCGCAGCCCGCGCCUUUAGAAACCCAAAACAUAGCCCCGCACAUCCCACCGGUUCAUGCCAGCGCAUGGCCAUCAAUUGAUAUAUGUGACGUGAUACACACGACAACCGGACAACGUCAGUAACCGUAAAAACGUCUGAGCAGCGGCAGUAACCUGCAGCCCAUAAUGAAGCAUCACUAUGAACAGUCUCCGGAGUCAGGCCCCAUUUUUAAGCUUUUAAAAGGGCUGCCGCACAGCCGCCAGCAGCCGCUGCAGCCACGGUUCCAGAGGCUUGCCCUGCUGCUUGCGGUUGUGGCUGUUCUUGUAGCCGGGCUCGCACAGUGCUCUCUACCCUACUGUCCCAGCGCCCUACCAUCGUUUCCAGGCGACCUACAGGAGAAACCUUGAACAUACACACCGCAUGUCAUAUGCGUGAAGAGCACACCGUUGCAACCAGCAAGUUCUGGUAGUGAUGCGUUGACUAACUAACUGCACGCCCAAAGCUCCAUGCAGUGCAUCUUGAUACUCGCAGCUGCAGCAAGCGUGCGGUGAAUGCGGAUGGGGGCCCCCAACAGGGCCGUGCCAUGCCGUGUGCGUACAAGUCCCAAGAGAAUAAAGGUUGAUCAAGGAAUUGUGUCUCUCCCUCUGCGGCAACUUAACAUCACGGUAAUGGCACUGCAAGCCGCUCAAAGCUCAGGGUCAUCUGUUGCUUGAACUACGAGAGAAUUGCUGCGUCCAUAUGCAAGCCAUCACAUCAGACGGAUACGGCUUGGUGAACAGAAGGUUAGCUCCCCCCCAGAGAUAGCAGCGCGUGGUCGUCUUGUAAUGGAACUGGGAGUGGACAGGGAGCGGGUAGCAGAGGGCGAUAUGAGAAAAAGGACACGCUGAAAAGCCUGCCACAGCGGGGCCAACACGCAUCCACGUUAAGCACUCGCUGCAUGGCCGGAUUAUUGAAUUGUGGUGUCGCAAGAGCGCCACAUAGACUGCUGCGCACGAGUAAACGGUACUAUGCUUGUAUUGCACUGGGAUUGUGCUCGCGCGCUCCGCAUUGGUAUGGAUGCAAAAGCAUGUUUCCUUGCCUUCCCACCGCUGUCGCGUCCCGCAACAGCAAGUACACGGCUCACCCCAGUGCACCCUGGCUUGUUGUUGCAGUUCUCCUGGCACUUGGCCACCGCCUCAUCAUUGGUGGGCAGCUUGAUGGUGAUGACCUCCAGCUGGUUACCGUUCCUGUGGGUGAAAGAGGACGACGCCGGGGUGUGUUCGUGGCUAGGUCUAACAACGCUGCCGUCUGGGAGUUCGAGCAGCAGUGUACUGUUGCCAGCAACCCAGACAAGCACAUUGCUUAUAUGCUGUGAGGCCGCGCACAAUGGGCCUUACCAAAGGCUAAGACCAUUCUUGCAGCUGUAAGAGCGUCCAGAUCCGGGGCUGCUAGGGCUGGCGCUAGGCUUGGGGCUGGGGCUGGGGCUGGGGCUAGACUUGGGGCUCGGGCUUGGGCUUGGGCUCGGGCUUGGGCUAGAGCUGGGGCUAGGAGGGGAAGGGCUGGGCGGCGGGGGGCUGGGCGGGGGGGGACUAGGCGGUGGGGGGCUGGGUGGAGGCGGUGCAGGCGGGAGGGGGCUGGGAGGCGGUGGUGGUGGGGGAGGCGAAGGCGGCUCUGGUGAGGGCGGGUCGGGCAUCUUGUAGCCGGUGAAGAUGCAGGCGAUGAUGUCACCAGGACUACCCCGGUUGUAGCGGACGUCACCACCCCAAAGUUUGCAGUAGCCACUGCGAGGAAAGCAGCACAUAAGAGCAUCCAUAAGACAGAUGCAUGCGAGCGGCGGCCUCAUGUCCCCGCAGACUUCUUAGCAGUAGGACUGUACAGCGCUGAUCCGAAUUGCGUAAGCGACAAAACAUGCAUGCUUACUCGCUGGCGUAGUCGUACUGUAGCCACAUGUGCAGCGCCAUGCAACCAUGCAGGGAGAGCAGUAUGUAAGCACAUGUCAGUGCCGGAAUAGUUUUAGGCGUUGAGCGGCAACAUGGGACAGCAGGGGAGCAGACUGCCAAGGCAGGCCACGUAAUUCCACAUUAAGCAGUGUGUCGCACUUUCUCUCCCCCACUUACGCCUGCGCACACACCGUCACGCUUGUUGCACUCCGCACGGCAGCGUGCCGCGGCGUCCACGUCAUUCAGUGGCGGGCGCAGUUUCAGCCUGUCGAUCAGGUCGCCGUUCCACAGACCCACAUCGUCUUUGCAUUUGUAGUUUCGAGGCGAGUCUGCACAACAGAAGAGGUGAUAGUUUAGAAAGUGCUGGUGGCGAUAACUACAGCACAUCGUGUAGCCUACCACUUACCAUCACUGGGGCUUGGGUCGGGCCGGGGGCUAGGCACUGGGGCAGGGCUGGGGCUUGGCAUGGGUAAUGGGGCGGGCAAAGGGCUGGGGCUGGGGCUGGGAAUGGUGAUAGGGCUCGGGCUGGGGCUCGGGUUGGGGCUUGCCUCAGGUGCCGGCACUGGGCUAGGGCUGGGGCUAGGGCUGGGCUCCGGGCUAGGGGGUGGGGGCAACGGCACCAGUGGAGGCUCCGGCGAGGGCGGGUCGGGC